GACGAACGCUGGCGGCGCGCUUAACACAUGCAAGUCGAACGGAAAGGCCUGCUUUCCCUUGUGGAUUGCGGGUACUCGAGUGGCGAACGGGUGAGUAACACGUGAGUGAUCUGCCCCCAACUUGGGUAUAAGCCUGGGAAACUGGGUCUAAUUCCCGAUAGGACUGCAGGGUGGUGCCUGUGGUGGAAAACGAUUUUCUAGUGGUUGUGGAUGAGCUCGCGGCCUAUCAGCUUGUUGGUGGGGUAAUGGCCUACCAAGGCGGCGACGGGUAGCCGGCCUGAGAGGGUGGACGGUCACAUUGGGACUGAGAUACGGCCCAGACUCCUACGGGAGGCAGCAGUGGGGAAUAUUGCACAAUGGGCGGAAGCCUGAUGCAGCGACGCCGCGUGGGGGAUGACGGCCUUCGGGUUGUAAACUCCUUUCGACCGCGAGGAAGCCACCUGGUUGGAAGGGUGGUGACGGUAGUGGUAGAAGAAGCACCGGCUAACUACGUG
rnacentral:rRNA from 1 species